rnacentral:rRNA from 1 species
AUGGACCACGCAACAGGUGCCAUGGGCAGCCUGCUCCCCAAGCUCGGCGAACUCCUCAAGGAGGAGUACAAACUGCAGAGAAGCGUCAAGGAUGAUAUCAAACAUCUCGAGAGAGAGCUGGAGAGCAUGCACGCUGCCCUCAGCAAGGUCGGGGACGUGCCGCGGGACCAGCUCGACGAACAAGUCAAGCUCUGGGCCAACGAGGUAAGAGACCUUUCAUACAUAAUAGAGGAUAUCAUCGACAAGUUCCUGCUGCAUGUCGAGGGCCCUGAGCCUGAAAACAAGCCACACAUGCUCAAACAACUCAUGAAGAAGAUGGGCAGCUUGUUCACCAAGUUUAUGAAACGCCAUGCCAUCGGCAACGAGAUCAAAAGUAUCAAGGUCAGUGUUCAGGAGGCGGCUGACCGGCGUGACCGGUACAGGGUCCACAAGGUGGUUGCUAAUCCAGAUGUUGCAACCACGGCCGACCCUUGCCUGUUGGCUCUGUACAAGGACCAAAAAGAGCUUGUUGGCAUUGAUGAUUCAUUGAAUGAUCUAACCAGGAUGCUGAGUGACGGGGAUGGUGAUGUGUCCAAGCAACUAAAGAUAAUCUCUAUUUUUGGAUUCGGAGGCCUUGGCAAGACAACUCUUGCCAAAGCAGUAUAUGAUAAGCUCAAAACACAGUUCGAUUGCAGUGCUUUUGUUCCGGUAGGACGCCAACCUAGCGUGAAGAAACUUCUCAACGACAUUCUCUAUGGAAUUGGCAAGAAAAUGUACCCUGGUUUGGAUGAAAGGCAACUGAUUGAUGAAAUCCGAGUAUUACUUGAGAAAAAGAGGUACUUAAUCGUCAUUGAUGACAUAUGGGAUAAAAAACAUGGGAACUAG